ACACCUGCCUUGCACGCCAUGCAGUCGUAGCAGAGGGCGGUCUGGUCGUUCGACCAUGUGGUGCAGUCGGGGUCGUCGGUGGUAGUGUUGAAGCCAGUGGGUUUGAUCCAGACGGUCUCACUCUGGUAGGUGAAGUUGCAGCCGGUGGGUGGCUUGCAGCAUCCAGACUGGACAUAAGAUAGAUUAAUUAGCUGCAGAAAAAACAGUUUCUUUAUAGUGAAUUGAAAAUAUGUAAUGUUCAAGCAAAAUUCAACUGGCUGGAGUAGUGUCAGGGCUGUGACAUUAUGAUAUAGCAAGGUCAACAGGCCAUGCUUGAAUAAAAUCGGUGGAACGAAAAUGUAUUCAGAUAUGCAUUUGCAAAGGAAUUGUCAAUUAAAGAACAUUACAAAAAAGACCUAGAAACUGGCAUUCUAAAUGUCGGCAAACAAAUUGCAUUUAGGAAAGAUAACAGCUCAGCCAAAAAAUAUUAGUUCAUGCAGUGCAACAUUUUCAAGGGUGCAGACAAAACUGAGAGAACUCUUAAAUGAACAUUCAGCUCUCAAGGCUUAAGUAGGCACAUUGAUUAUAUAAAGUAGAUGAUGGUCUGCACAUUAAGGGUGCGUUUGGUUGGGAGACAAUGUAGAACGGGACGGUUCCGUCCUAGUUUUUCGGGAUGGGAUGAUCCCAUUUCUUGUUUGGUUGAAUGGGAUGGGGUCGUCCCAAUUUUUUGUUUGGUUAGAGAGAUUGCGACAGACGGGACGAGCACCGUUUUCUCAUUCUGUUAACACCGUUCGUGGGGCCCACCUGUCAUACUAACCGCCGAAUCUCAGGGGCCGGCCGUGCUCGCCCGCGGCGGAGCUCCCGCCCACGCCGGCCGCGCUCGCCCGCGGCGGUGCUCCCGCCCGCGGCGGCGGAGCUCCCUCCCGCGCCGGGCGCGCCCGCCCGCGCCGGAGCUCCCGCCCGCGCCGGCCGUGCCCGCCCGCGCCGGCCGCGGCGGAGCUCCCGCCCGCGCCGGCCGCGCCCGCCCGCGCCCGCCGCGCUCGCCCGAAGCUCGCCCGCGCAAACGGCGCGUGACGGGGGCGAAGUGGGAUGCCCCCGUCCGCUCGUUUUUCCCGGACGGGGACGUCCCGGAUCUUCACGGUAUAUUCCUCGAUAGGGAUGUCCCCGUCCCACUUGUCCUCCAACCAAACGCGGGACGAAGUGGGAUCGUCCCGUCCCGUCCCACUUCGUCCUCGCAACCAAACGCACCCUAAGAGUACUGCCGUGCAAAAGUUUCGAUAACCAUAAAUGGCAGAAACUUCAUAUAAUAGGUGCUGUGAUUAGCAGUACACCAUACCAGUUGCAGGCAGUAAUCAGUACUUAUGAAGGCCAAGUGUAGCACUAGUGGACUGCAGUUAAAACAGGGAGAGGUCCACAUGAUAAGCAAGGUCUAUCAAAAGUCAGCACCAUGAAUAAGCAGCAUGUAUUGUGAAUUCCCCAUAGCUAGCACAGCAAUCUAAAGCAAACACACAAAAAAAUGGAAGACUACCAUUUCAAUUAGUCACUAUCUGUCUCAUUGAUAGAUCAAUGCCAGACAUAAAUUGGAGACGUAACAAGAGGUACCCCACAAUUACAACUUAGAUUUGGUACAAUGACCAUAAAAAAAUUCUUCAGAAGAACAAUGCAAAAGAGUAAAUUACCAUUCACCAAAGCAGUGGGAUUAUGUCACAUUAUGUCACAUUGCUCUUGCUUCAUCAGAACAUCGUACAAGUAGACAGUUACUGAGUUACAUGGGCAUGCGGUUAAAUUCAGUGGCAUAGAUUCAUCCUAAACAUUAAUCCAUUGGUCACUACCAAAAAGACAUCAAUUGAUCUUUACCAACAAAUUGGUAUAACUGCGCAAUGGAUAAGAAUUUGCUUACUGCAUAUAAACUAACUGCACUGCGCUCAAAGAUAAUGCAAGAGGAAUUUACUAAUUAACAGACAAUGCAGCAUAUGAAUAGUGGGGUACAGUUCGCGCAAACUGUAAUGCCAGUGGCAUAGAUUCAUCAGAAACAUCUAUUCAUUAGUCACUACCAAAAGAUAAUAAUCGAUCUACCAACAAACUGGAAUAACAUCGCAAUGCAGUCAGAAAUUGCUUAUAUUGUAUCUUGCCAAGUAACUUGCAGUAACAACAACAAUAAUGCAAGAGGAAUUAACAAAUUAAUCGACAAUGCAGCAUAUGAAUCGUGGGGUACAGUUAACCUGAACUGAAAUACCACAUGCACGAACUUCUGAAAAUGGAAUCUAACUAUUCUUGUAAGGGUCCUACUCAAAACUCACCAAAACCGUACCAGCCCCAUGUGAACUAACAGAUAAGCCUGUCCCCCAUCAUUUAUAAUCUUGUGAAUUCUAACAAGGGAACAAAAAGUUCGAACCAGCUUUCGCACGUUCCCCGGCAAAUGACUGGAAAUCCAUCAAGACCAUGAUGACCAACGUUGACGAGAAUCCCACCUAACAAGAAGCUAAGGAGUUCAUGUGCACCAAUCAAGACGUUCUCAUCUCUCAAAGAGAAGAUAAAUCGACUCAAGCGAGCAAAAUCUAAUCCAAUCACCAGGGACAAUCUAAACUUCCCCGUAAUCAAGAUUAAACAACUCAAAGACAGAAAACAUUGGCCAACAAAUCUCCAACAGAAUUUUGGUAAAAUUCAACAGCCCAGAGAGGAAUAUCUAGAGCGAGGAGAAGAAAUAAGGAAUCCACCUGGAUCGGGGAGAGGUUGCUGUUGACGAACUGGGUGACCGUCUCCUUCCUGUCCGCAAGCUUCUGGCAGACCUUGCCGUCCUGGAGGCAGCUCCUGACCUUGGCCCAAUUCCCUGCGUUCUCGACCCUCCGCUGCAGCCAGGUGGAGUAGUCCCCGAGGCGGU
rnacentral:lncRNA from 1 species